GACGAACGCUGGCGGCGUGCCUAAUACAUGCAAGUCGAACGCAGUGGGGACGGGUGAGUAAAACGGGGGUAACCUCACAUAAGAGGGGAUAACACUUGGAAACAGGUGCUAAAACGAUACUGAUGGAUGGACCAGCGGUGCAUUAGCUAUUUGGUGGGGUAACGGCUCACCAAGGCCACGAUGCAUAGCCGACCUGAGAGGGGGAUCGGCCACACUGGGACUGAGACACGGCCCAGACUCCUACGGGAGGCAGCAGUAGGGAAUCUUCGGCAAGGGACGAAAGUCGGACCGAGCAACGCCGCGUGAGUGAAGAAGGUGUUCGGAUCGUAAAACUCUGUUGUUAGAGAAGCGGUAUCUAACCAGAAAGCCACGGCUAACUACGUGCCAGCAGCCGCGGUAAUUC
rnacentral:rRNA from 1 species